GAUGAAGACGCAGCGAAAUGCGAUAAGUAGUGUGAAUUGCAGAAUUCAGUGAAUCAUCGAAUCUUUGAACGCACAUUGCGCCCUUUGGUAUUCCUUAGGGCAUGCCUGUUCGAGCGUCAUUUAAACCUUCAAGCUAAGCUUGGUGUUGGGUGACUGUCCGCUUCACGGCGGACUCGCCUCAAAAUUAUUGGCGGCCGGUACAUUGGCUUCGAGCGCAGCAGAAACGCGAACUCGGGCCCGUCGUAUUGGCUCCCAGAAGCUAUCUUCACAAUUUUGACCUCGGAUCAGGUAGGGAUACCCGCUGAACUUAAGCAUAUCAAUAAGCGGAGGA
rnacentral:misc_RNA from 1 species